GUAUAAUGCCGGGGUUCUGGUGCUUGCCCAUGUGCUCACAUGCGCAGUUAAACGGGAAACACAGGCCGCCCGCGCUCGCAGCGUGACGGCCAAGGUGUGCUGCCCCCGCAACGGUAACGCAAGGCCGCUUGAGCGCCUUGCCAGCCCGGAUACCGGCCAGAUAUGGGGGAAGCGC
rnacentral:ncRNA from 2 species